rnacentral:rRNA from 1 species
UACAGAGGUCCCAAGCGUUGUUCGGAUUCACUGGGCGUAAAGGGUGCGUAGGUGGCGGAGUAAGUCGGAUGUGAAAUCUCCGAGCUCAACUCGGAAACUGCAUUGGAAACUACUCUGCUCGAGGGUUGGAGGGGGGACUGGAAUACUUGGUGUAGCAGUGAAAUGCGUAGAUAUCAAGUGGAACACCAGUGGCGAAGGCGAGUCCCUGGACAACUCCUGACACUGAGGCACGAAAGCUAGGGGAGCAAACAGG